rnacentral:rRNA from 1 species
AGCUUGCUCCGAGGAUGCACGAGUCGGGGACGGGUUGCAGUNAUUCGUCUCGGUGAAACUUGCCUGAUGGAGUGGGGAUCAACUACUGGAAACUGGUAUGCUCAAUACCAGUAUAACGUCUGGAAAGACCAAAGAGGGGGACCUUCGGGCCCCUUGCCAAUCAGGAUCGUGGCCCAGAUGGGGGUUAGCUUAGGUAAGUGGGGGUCAACUGGUCAACUUAAGGCAACGAUCCCUGAGGCUGGUCUCGAGGAGGAUCGACCAGCAAGACUUGGGAAACUUGAGAACAACGGGUCCCAAGAAUCUCCUCAACNGGGGCAAGGGCCAAGCCAACGUGGGGGGAAAAUGCAUCUGGCCACAAACUUGGGGGGCCGGGCAAUGGCCCUUCGGAAUGGCCAGUGCCCCAUUGGCCCUGGCGGUUCGGUCAUGCGAAAUGGAAACGUGGCCCUUCUCCNGGGGGGUUCANGGUACACAAGGGUNCACUUCUGUCCAAGCGCGGGGGGGGCAAGGAGAAAAGGGUCGUCUCGGAUCGGGUACCAGAAGAAGUGUAAAAACGCCCCCCAAGCAAAGGGGCAGAAAAACUCCUGGGAAACAGGGUUCGUA